rnacentral:rRNA from 1 species
UAGCAUAUCAUAGCGGAGGAAAGAACCAACAGGGAUUGCCCCAGUAACGGCGAGUGAAGCGGCAACAGCUCAAAUUGAAAUCUGGCCCCUCGGGCCCGAGUUGUAAUUGUAGAGGAUGCUUUUGGCAAGGUGCCGCCCGAGUUCCUGGAACGGGACGCCGCAGAGGGUGAGAGCCCCGUCUGGCUGGCCACCGAGCCUCUGUAAAGCUCCUUCGACGAGUCGAGUAGUUUGGGAAUGCUGCUCAAAAUGGGAGGUAUAUGUCUUCUAAAGCUAAAUAUUGGCCAGAGACCGAUAGCGCACAAGUAGAGUGAUCGAAAGAUGAAAAGCACUUUGAAAAGAGGGUUAAACAGUACGUGAAAUUGUUGAAAGGGAAGCGCUCAUGACCAGACUUGGGCUUGGCGGAUCAUCCGGCGUUCUCGCCGGUGCACUUCGCCUCGCCCAGGCCAGCAUCAGUUCGCGCCGGGGGACAAAAGCUUCGGGAAUGUGGCUCCUCCGGGAGUGUUAUAGCCCGUUGCAUAAUACCCUGGUGCGGACUGAGGUUCGCGCAUCUGCAAGGAUGCUGGCGUAAUGGUCAUCAGCGACCCGUCUUGAAACACGGACCAAGGAGUCGUCUUCGUAUGCGAGUGUUCGGGUGUCAAACCCCUACGCGUAAUGAAAGUGAACGCAGGUGAGAGCUUCGGCGCAUCAUCGACCGAUCCUGAUGUUCUCGGAUGGAUUUGAGUAAGAGCAUACGGGGCCGGACCCGAAAGAAGGUGAACUAUGCCUGUAUAGGGUGAAGCCAGAGGAAACUCUGGUGGAGGCUCGCAGCGGUUCUGACGUGCAAAUCGAUCGUCAAAUAUGGGCAUGGGGGCGAAAGACUAA